GCCCCCAUAGCUCAGUCGGUUAGAGCAGCGGACUCAUAAUCCGUCGGUCCUCGGUUCGAGUCCGAGUGGGGGCA
rnacentral:tRNA from 1 species